rnacentral:precursor_RNA from 14 species
AACGAGAGAAGACCAAGGCCUGUUGCCACAAACCCGUAGAUCCGAACUUGUGGUGAUAGUCCACACAAGCUUGCGUCUAUAGGUCUGUGUCUGUUAGGCAAUCGCACAACCCGCGGG